AAUGAACGCUGGCGGCAGGCCUAACGCAUGCAAGUCGAACGGAUCCUUCGGGAUUAGUGGCGGACGGGUGAGUAACGCGUGGGAACAUACCCUUUGGUACGGAAUAGCCUCGGGAAACUGGGAGUAAUACCGUAUGUGGUCGAGAGACGAAAGAUUUAUCGCCAAAGGAUUGGCCCGCGUUGGAUUAGGUAGUUGGUGGGGUAAUGGCCUACCAAGCCGACGAUCCAUAGCUGGGUUGAGAGGAUGAUAAGCCACCCUGGGACUGAGACACGGCCCGGUCUCCUACGGGAGGCAGCAGUGGGGAAUCUUAGACAAUGGGGGAAACCCUGAUCUAGCCAUGCCGCGUGAUCGAUGAAGGCCUUAGGGUUGUAAAGAUCUUUCAGGUGGGAAGAUAAUGACUGUACCACCAGAAGAAGCCCCGGCUAACUCCGUGCCAGCCGCCGCGGUAACAC
rnacentral:rRNA from 1 species